rnacentral:rRNA from 1 species
GGCUGUAAACCUCUUUUAUCAAGGAAGAAGAUCUGACGGUACUUGAUGAAUAAGCCACGGCUAAUUCCGUGCCAGCAGCCGCGGUAAUACGGGAGUGGCAAGCGUUAUCCGGAAUUAUUGGGCGUAAAGCGUCCGCAGGCGGCCCUUCAAGUCUGCUGUUAAAAAGUGGAGCUUAACUCCAUCAUGGCAGUGGAAACUGUUGGGCUUGAGUGUGGUAGGGGCAGAGGGAAUUCCCGGUGUAGCGGUGAAAUGCGUAGAUAUCGGGAAGAACACCAGUGGCGAAGGCGCUCUGCUGGGCCAUCACUGACGCUCAUGGACGAAAGCCAGGGGAGCGAAAGGGAUUAGAUACCCCUGUAGUCCUGGCCGUAAACGAUGAACACUAGGUGUCGGGGGAAUCGACCCCCUCGGUGUCGUAGCCAACGCGUUAAGUGUUCCGCCUGGGGAGUACGCCGCAAGUGUGAAACUCAAAGGAAUUGACGGGGGCCCGCACA